UACGUAGGGUGCAAGCGUUAAUCGGAAUUACUGGGCGUAAAGCGUGCGCAGGCGGUUAUGUAAGACAGAUGUGAAAUCCCCGGGCUCAACCUGGGAACUGCAUUUGUGACUGCACGGCUAGAGUGUGUCAGAGGGGGGGUAGAAUUCCACGUGUAGCAGUGAAAUGCGUAGAGAUGUGGAGGAAUACCGAUGGCGAAGGCAGCCCCCCUGGGAUAACACUGACGCUCAUGCACGAAAGCGUGGGGAGCAAACAGG
rnacentral:rRNA from 1 species